rnacentral:rRNA from 1 species
CCCUACGGGGCGCAGCAGUGAGGAAUAUUGGUCAAUGGUCGGGAGACUGAACCAGCCAAGCCGCGUGAGGGAUGAAGGUACAGAGUAUCGUAAACCUCUUUUGUCAGGGAACAAAGGCGGGGACGUGUCCCCGGAUGAGUGUACCUGAAGAAAAAGCAUCGGCUAACUCCGUGCCAGCAGCCGCGGUAAUACGGAGGAUGCGAGCGUUAUCCGGACUUAUUGGGUUUAAAGGGUGCGCAGGCGGUCUGUUAAGUCACCGGUCAAAGCCCGGGGCUCAACCCCGGCCCGCCGUUGAAACUGGCAGU